AACGCGAAGAACCUUACCUGGUCUUGACAUCCACGGAAGUUUUCAGAGAUGAGAAUGUGCCUUCGGGAACCGUGAGACAGGUGCUGCAUGGCUGUCGUCAGCUCGUGUUGUGAAAUGCUGGGUUAAGUCCCGCAACGAGCGCAACCCUUAUCCUUUGUUGCCAGCGGUCCGGCCGGGAACUCAAAGGAGACUGCCAGUGAUAAACUGGAGGAAGGUGGGGAUGACGUCAAGUCAUCAUGGCCCUUACGACCAGGGCUACACACGUGCUACAAUGGCGCAUACAAAGAGAAGCGACCUCGCGAGAGCAAGCGGACCUCAUAAAGUGCGUCGUAGUCCGGAUUGGAGUCUGCAACUCGACUCCAUGAAGUCGGAAUCGCUAGUAAUCGUGGAUCAGAAUGCCACGGUGAAUACGUUCCCGGGUCUUGUACACACGC
rnacentral:rRNA from 1 species